UCCUCCAAGUAAAGGAGAGAAGCUUAGAAAGCCCCCUCACAAGGAUGGAAGAGGCCCUUGGGCCUAAGAACACACAUGUGAUUAAGGCAAAGCCUUAUUUCAUCCUUGAGUGUCUCCCUUUCUU
ensembl:snRNA Gm24274 predicted gene, 24274